GGGCUGGGCCGGCUCUAUGGGGAGAUCAUGGCCAAGGUUUUCCCCGAGGGGAUCGUCUCCGACGGGAUCCGCAUCGCCAUCGGCCCCGCGGCCUACGCCCUGGCCGGCGCGGCGGCCUACUCGGGCGCGGUGACCCACACGCUGUCGACGGCCCUGCUGGUGUUCGAGCUGACGGGGCAGAUGUCCCACGUCCUGCCCCUGCUCAUCGCGGUGCUGGUGGCCAACGGGCUCAGCCAGCGGCUCCAGGCCUCCUUCUUCGACGGCAUCAUCAUCGCCAAGCAGCUGCCCUACCUGCCCAAGCUGGGCGUGGGCCGGAGCGGGGCCCACGACAUCUACGCGGAGGAUUUCAUGGUCACGGAUCUCCAAUUCCUGCCCCGGGGCUGCAGGUACAAGGACGUGAGGGGGCUGCUCAAGGCCUCCAGCCUCAAACAGUUCCCCCUCGUGGACUCCCAAGAGUCCAGGAUCUUGCUGGGCUCCAUCCGGCGGAAGCAUCUCGCCAAGCUGCUGUCGGAGCAGCUGAGCGCGGAGAAGCGAUUCCAGCAUCUGCUCUGGCGGACCGAGCUGCUGGGUGCAGACGGCGCUUCAGGGACCCCAGAGGAGAAGCCAGAAACACCGAGAGUUUCUGCUGAGCCGGGCGACGGGGAGACAUCAAAAGAGGAGGAGCGAGGCACCCAACUGUCUGUCAAGAUGAAGGACCCUCCCCCAGCCCUCCCCGAGUCUGCAGGGCGAUUGAAGAGGCGGGGGGGGGGGCUCAAAUCUCCCCCCCUAGCCCCAGACUAUCACAUGUCAGACUUGCGGGUGGCCCAGACUAUCGGGGUUCAGACUGGCCCCCCCAGAUUAUCGGGGUUCAUAUGCGUCUUCGAGUGUUCCCAGGAUGCUUUGCCCCAGCUGCUUGGUGGGGGCUGGUGCAAAGGAUCCUGGGAGGACCCCGGGGAAGGGGGCUGGAGCCAGGGGGAUAUUUCCCAGGAUGCUUUGGCCCGGCUGCUUGGUGGGAGCUGGUGCAAAGGAUUCUGGGAGGACCCCGGGGGAGGGGGCUGGAGCUGGGGAGGAUAUUUCCCAGGAUGCUUUGCCCCGGCUGCUUGGCGGGAGCUGGUGCAAAGGAUUCUGGGAGGACCCCAGGGAAGGGGGCUGGAGCUGGGGAGGAUAUUUCCCAGGAUGCUUUGCCCCGGCUGCUUGGCGGGAGCUGGUGCAAAGGAUUCUGGGAGGACCCCGGGGGAGGGGGCUGGAGCUGGGAAGGAUAUUUCCCAGGAUGCUUUGGCCCGGCUGCUUGGUGGGAGCUGGUGCAAAGGAUUCUGGGAGGACCCCAGGGAAGGGGGCUGGAGCUGGGGGGGAUAUUUCCCAGGAUGCUUUGCCCCGGCUGCUUGGUGGGAGCUGGUGCAAAGGAUUCUGGGAGGACCCCAGGGAAGGGGGCUGGAGCUGGGGAGGAUAUUUCCCAGGAUGCUUUGCCCCGGCUGCUUGGCGGGAGCUGGUGCAAAGGAUUCUGGGAGGACCCCGGGGAAGGGGGCUGGAGCUGGGGAGGAUAUUUCCCAGGAUGCUUUGCCCCGGCUGCUUGGCGGGAGCUGGUGCAAAGGAUUCUGGGAGGACCCCGGGGAGGGCGGAGCCGGCGGGAUAUGUCCCAGGAUGCUUUGCCCGGCUGCAGGUGGAGGACUGGGAGUGCCAGCAGCUGCAGGAGCCGGUCCGGCUGGAGGAGCUGCCCAUCGACCCGGCCCCCUACCGCCUGCUGGAGAACGAGACCCUCUACCAGUGCUAUGAUCUCUUCAACUUGCUGGGCCUGCGGACGGCCUAUGUCACCAACGUGGGCCGGCUGGUCGGGGUGGUGAGCCUCCGAGAGCUCAAAGCCGCGGUGGAGGGGUCGGUCAAGGGCACCUUUGCCAGGCGCCGGCCCCAUGACGGGG